rnacentral:rRNA from 1 species
UACGGAGGAUGCGAGCGUUAUCCGGAUUUAUUGGGUUUAAAGGGUGCGUAGGCGGGAUGCCAAGUCAGCGGUAAAAAUGCGGUGCUCAACCCCAUCCAGCCGUUGAAACUGGGGAUCUAGAGUGUGCGAGAGGUAUGCGGAAUGCGUGGUGUAGCGGUGAAAUGCAUAGAUACCACGCAGAACCCCGAUUGCGAAGGCAGCCUGCCGGCCCCACACUGACGCUGAGGCACGAAAGCGUGGGUAUCGAACAGG